rnacentral:rRNA from 1 species
AUUGAACGCUGGCGGCAGGCUUAACACAUGCAAGUCGAGCGGAGAUGAGGUGCUUGCACCUUAUCUUAGCGGCGGACGGGUGAGUAAUGCUUAGGAAUCUGCCUAUUAGUGGGGGACAACAUACCGAAAGGAAUGCUAAUACCGCAUACGUCCUACGGGAGAAAGCAGGGGAUCUUCGGACCUUGCGCUAAUAGAUGAGCCUAAGUCGGAUUAGCUAGUUGGUGGGGUAAAGGCCUACCAAGGCGACGAUCUGUAGCGGGUCUGAGAGGAUGAUCCGCCACACUGGGACUGGGACACGGCCCAGACUCCUACGGGAGGCAGCAGUGGGGAAGAUUGGACAAUGGGGGGAACCCUGAUCCAGCCAUGCCGCGUGUGUGAAGAAGGCCUUAUGGUUGUAAAGCACUUUAAGCGAGGAGGAGGCUACUGAGACUAAUACUCUUGGAUAGUGGACGUUACUCGCAGAAUAAGCACCGGCUAACUCUGUGCCAGCCGCCGCCGUAA